rnacentral:rRNA from 1 species
UACGUAGGCAGCAAGCGUUGUUCGGAGUUACUGGGCGUAAAGGGUGCGUAGGCGGCUUUUUAAGUUUGGUGUGAAAUCCCCGGGCUCAACCUGGGAAUGGCGAUGAAGACUGCAAGGCUAGAAUCUGGCAGAGGGGGGUGAGAAUUCCACGUGUAGCAGUGAAAUGCGUAGAGAUGUGGAGGAACACCGAUGGCGAAGGCAGCCCC